GACGAACGCUGGCGGCGUGCCUAACACAUGCAAGUAGAACGCAGUUGCGAACGGGUGAGUAACGUGUAGGUAACUGCCUCAUAGUGGGGGAUAACUUUUGGAAACGAAAGCUAAUACCGCAUACUGUGAGAUGGACCUGCGUUGUAUUAGCUAGUUGGUGAGGUAACGGCACACCAAGGCGACGAUACAUAGCCGACCUGAGAGGGGGAUCGGCCAAACAGGGACUGGAGCCGGGACCAGAAUUCUGCAGGUGGCAACAGGUGGGAAUCUUCGGGAAAGGACGGAAGGCUGACCAAGGAACGCCGGAUGAGUGAAGGAGGUUGUCGGGCCGUAAAACUGCGGUAUUAGAGAAGCGGUACCUAAACAGAAAGGGACGGCUAACUACGUGCCAGCAGCCGCGGUAAUAC
rnacentral:rRNA from 1 species